rnacentral:rRNA from 1 species
GACGUAGGGCGCGAGCGUUGUCCGGAUUUGAUUAGGGCGUAAGAGCUCGUAGGCGGCUGUUGCGUCGACCGUCGAAAAACCCCGCGGCUUUACCGUGGGCUGCGGUCGAUACGGGCGGGCUGGAGUUCGGUAGGGGAGACGUGGAAUUCCUGGUGUAGCGGUGAAAUGCGCAGAUAUCAGGAGGAACACCGGUGGCGAAGGCGGGUCUCUGGGCCGAUACUGACGCUGAGGAGCGAAAGCGUGGGGGAGCGAACAGG